GUUUGUUUUGAAAGCUGAGAAUUAUGGGAGUCAUCUUAUAUGAAGGGCAGGUUGCCAGCAAAGUCCCACCUGCCAAACUGUUCAAGAAGUUUGUUCUUGAGAGCCUGACCCUCCUCCCCAAGGUCUUGCCCCAGGCUCUUGAAAGUGUAGUCAAUCUUCAGGGAGAUGGAGGGCCUGGUACCAUCAGACAAGUUCACUUCAGCAAUGG
rnacentral:misc_RNA from 1 species